CAGUCGAGCGGGGAAAGGUAGCUUGCUAUUGGACCUAGCGGCGGACGGGUGAGUAAUACUUAGGAAUCUGCCUAUUAGUGGGGGACAACGUUCCGAAAGGAGCGCUAAUACCGCAUACGCCCUACGGGGGAAAGCAGGGGAUCACUUGUGACCUUGCGCUAAUAGAUGAGCCUAAGUCGGAUUAGCUAGUUGGUGGGGUAAAGGCCUACCAAGGCGACGAUCUGUAGCGGGUCUGAGAGGAUGAUCCGCCACACUGGGACUGAGACACGGCCCAGACUCCUACGGGAGGCAGCAGUGGGGAAUAUUGGACAAUGGGGGGAACCCUGAUCCAGCCAUGCCGCGUGUGUGAAGAAGGCCUUUUGGUUGUAAAGCACUUUAAGCGAGGAGGAGAGGCCCUAGGUUAAUACCCUAGGUGCUUGGACGUUACUCGCAGAAUAAGCACCGGCUAACUCUGUGCCAGCAGCCGCGGUAAUACAGAGGGUGCGAGCGUUAAUCGGAUUUACUGGGCGUAAAGCGUGCGUAGGCGGCCAUUUAAGUCGGAUGUGAAAUCCCCGAGCUCAACUUGGGAAUUGCAUUCGAUACUGGGUGGCUAGAGUAUAGGAGAGGAAGGUAGAAUUCCAGGUGUAGCGGUGAAAUGCGUAGAGAUCUGGAGGAAUACCGAUGGCGAAGGCAGCCUUCUGGCCUAAUACUGACGCUGAGGUACGAAAGCA
rnacentral:rRNA from 1 species